UACAGAGGGGGCAAGCGUUGUUCGGAAUUACUGGGCGUAAAGCGCACGUAGGCGGACUUUCAAGUCAGGGGUGAAAUCCCGGGGCUCAACCUCGGAAUUGCCUUUGAUACUGUAAGUCUCGAGUCCGGAAGAGGUGGGUGGAAUUCCUAGUGUAGAGGUGAAAUUCGUAGAUAUUCGGAAGAACACCAGUGGCGAAGGCGGCUCUCUGGCUCAUACUGGACGCUGAGGUGCGAAAGCGUGGGGAGCAAACAGG
rnacentral:rRNA from 1 species